rnacentral:tRNA from 1 species
GUGCUUGUAGCUCAGUGGUUAGAGCACCUGCUUUCCUAAGCUGAAGGUUGCAAGUUUGACCCUCACCUGGCGCG